UGGGGAAUAUUGGGCAAUGGGGGCAACCCUGACCCAGCGACGCCGCGUGAGGGAAGACAGCCUUCGGGUUGUAAACCUCUGUUGCAGGGGAAGAAGGACGUGACGGUACCCUGCGAGGAAGCUCCGGCUAACUACGUGCCAGCAGCCGCGGUAAUACGUAGGGAGCGAGCGUUAUCCGGAAUUACUGGGCGUAAAGGGCGCGUAGGCGGUGUUUCAAGUCGUUCGUUAAAUAUUGAGGCUUAACCUCAAGGAGCGGCCGAAACUGAGACACUGGAGACACAGAGAGGCAAACAGAAUUCCUGGUGUAGCGGUGAAAUGCGUAGAUAUCAGGAAGAAUACCGGUGGCGAAGGCGGUUUGCUGGAUGUGAUCUGACGCUGAAGCGCGAAAGCCGGGGGAGCGAACGGG
rnacentral:rRNA from 1 species